GCUCCAAUAGCGUAUAUUUAAGUUGUUGCAGUUAAAAAGCUCGUAGUUGGAUUUCGGUUGAGAGCGGCCGGUCCGCCGUUUGGUGUGCACUGGCUGGUUUCAACUUCCUGCGGAGGACGCGCUCUGGGCUUAACGGUCUGGACGUGGAGUCCGCGUGGUUACUUUGAAAAAAUUAGAGUGUUCAAGCAAGCUUCACGCUG
rnacentral:rRNA from 1 species